UGGGGAAUUUUGGACAAUGGGGGAAACCCUGAUCCAGCCAUCCCGCGUGUGCGAUGAAGGCCUUCGGGUUGUAAAGCACUUUUGGCAGGAAAGAAACGUCGCGGGUUAAUACCCCGCGAAACUGACGGUACCUGCAGAAUAAGCACCGGCUAACUACGUGCCAGCAGCCGCGGUAAUACGUAGGGUGCAAGCGUUAAUCGGAAUUACUGGGCGUAAAGCGUGCGCAGGCGGUUCGGAAAGAAAGAUGUGAAAUCCCAGAGCUUAACUUUGGAACUGCAUUUUUAACUACCGGGCUAGAGUGUGUCAGAGGGAGGUGGAAUUCCGCGUGUAGCAGUGAAAUGCGUAGAUAUGCGGAGGAACACCGAUGGCGAAGGCAGCCUCCUGGGAUAACACUGACGCUCAUGCACGAAAGCGUGGGGAGCAAACAGGAUUAGAUACCCUGGUAGUCCACGCCCUAAACGAUGUCAACUAGCUGUUGGGGCCUUCGGGCCUUGGUAGCGCAGCUAACGCGUGAAGUUGACCGCCUGGGGAGUACGGUCGCAAGAUUAAAACUCAAAUGAAUUGACGGAGUCGA
rnacentral:rRNA from 1 species